GGAAUCUUCCACAAUGGGCGAAAGCCUGAUGGAGCAACGCCGCGUGUGUGAUGAAGGGUUUCGGCUCGUAAAACCCUGUUGUAAGAGAAGAAUGACAUUGAGAGUAACUGUUCAAUGUGUGACGGUAUCUUACCAGAAAGGAACGGCUAAAUACGUGCCAG
rnacentral:rRNA from 1 species